rnacentral:rRNA from 1 species
UGACCUCAGAUCGGGUGGGACUACCCGCUGAACUUAAGCAUAUCAAUAAGCGGAGGAAAAGAAACUAACAAGGAUUCCCCUAGUAACGGCGAGUGAAGAGGGAAAAGCUCAAAUUUUGAAUCUGAUGUCUUUGGCAUCCGAGUUGUAAUCUAGAGAAGUGUUUUCUGCCUUGGACCACACAUAAAUUCCCUGGAAUGGGGUGUCAUARAGGGUGAGAAUCCCGUUUGUGGUGUGGACUACCUUGGCUCUGUGAUACACUCUCAACGAGUCGAGUUGUUUGGGAAUGCAGCUCAAAAUGGGUGGUAAAUUCCAUCUAAAGCUAAAUACUGGCGAGAGACCGAUAGCGAACAAGUACCGUGAGGGAAASAUGAAAAGCACUUUGGAAAGAGAGUGAAACAGUACGUGAAAUUGUUGAAAGGGAAGCGUUUGAA